UACAGAGGUCCCAAGCGUUGUUCGGAUUCAUUGGGCGUAAAGGGUGCGUAGGCGGCGCGGUAAGUCGGGUGUGAAAUCUCGGGGCUUAACUCCGAAACUGCAUUCGAUACUGCCGUGCUUGAGGACUGGAGAGGAGACUGGAAUUUACGGUGUAGCGGUGAAAUGCGUAGAUAUCAGGAGGAACACCGGUGGCGAAGGCGGAUCUCUGGGCCUUACCUGACGCUGAGGAGCGAAAGCAUGGGGAGCAAACAGG
rnacentral:rRNA from 1 species